rnacentral:sRNA from 2 species
UUUUUUGGCUUCGGGUUGCAUCGAAAAUGGGUAAUUUCAACGACUCCUUCGGAAGGAGUCCUUCCUGUGAUAUUGGUUGCAUAAAGCAUGUAAGACGGCAUAGUUAUAGUAUAUUGAGAAGUUUUGAACCUUUCAAUUGUUGUCAAUACUCAAUAGAAUAUAGCUGUGGAGAUUCAAAAUUUAUAUGAGUUCCUGUUGUGGGAGCAAAUCUCGCUCAGUAGUCACUGUACCAACCAAAGCCUUGACUUGAGCCUUGAAGAAAUCUAAGAACCAACACGAAGUAAGUUGGUACUUAUUAUGAAAAAAAAAAAAGGAGAGGG